rnacentral:miRNA from 1 species
AAUACAGAAGGUUCAAUUACACUUGAAUUUCAGGUAAACAACAAAUAAUUUUAGUAUAAGUAUGUUCCCUGCAAUAUUUGGGACAUACUUAUACCAAAAAAUUAUUUGUUGUUUACCUGAAGUCCAAAUUUAACUGGGCAUCCUGUAUUU